AUAAGCUAAUGUAUCUACAUUGUCUCCUGCAGGUUCCCUCUCUUGGUGUGGUGAUGUAUUAUGCAGUGGUAGUCGUGACAACAUGAUAUUACAGUGGGACCCACAUCUACCUGCCUUCCCCACUAGGAGACUGUUAGGCCACACCCAGGAGGUGUGUGGACUUGCUGGUCCCCUAAUCACCAACACCUGGCCUCAGGAGGAAACGAUAUAAAUUAUUCAUAUGGGAUGAUUCAUCGACCACACCCAUUCACUGUCUCUCGGAUCAUAAAGCAGCUAUAAAAGCUCUUGCAUGGUCACUGCAUCAACAUGAACUAUUAGCCUCAGGUGGUGGUACAGCUGAUAGGACCAUCAGGUUCUGGAAUGUACUGACUGGCAUGUUGAAUAAACCACUUCACCUUCAUAGUUCACACUGACUAACUUGUAUUUUAAACCGGUUUGACGAGUUACUAGCAGCUCAGCAUAAACUGAGUUUGGAGGUAUCUUUGACAGAUUACUGGUAGGAGUCGUAUUGGUCUUCAAUUUGUUUAAAGGUGACUGGCUCACAACUGGAGAUGAAUUCACUGGAGGAGCUUUUCGUUUCUUUGAGUAUUCCUUCUCAACCCUUUUUAAUAUGUCUGGUGGGCAUAUCAAGUUCUCCUGGGUUCCCCUAACCCACAGGUAGUUUAAGAGCACGGGCAGUUCUUCCAGGGUAUAUCAAGGUUUUCUGGGCAUAUCAAGUUCUCGUGGGGUUCCCCUAACCCACAGGUACAUGUAUUUUAGGAGGUUGGGAAGCUCCUCCACUUCUAAUAUUUCUAAUAUUUCUUCAGCUUCUGGACCUGGUUCUUCAAUCUGUACGGUUGCAUCUAAUUCUUCGUCCUCCCCAUUAUUGGAAGAGAGGGAAUGAAUGGAGCCGAGAGUACCUGAAUCAUCAUGCUCCGUAUUAGCAGUCGUAUGAGUCUUUGAUGUCUUUAAAGGUGGCUCUGGAGGUGCUUUUCUUUUUAAAAGUAUUCCUUUUCGACAUUAUCUAAUGUUUCUUACGGGCAUAUUACGUUUUCCUCAGGCUCCCAAGUAUUGUAGGUAGGCGAGUAGUCCUUCUAUUUUAAGAAAUAAAAUUUCUUUCCCUCCUCUAUCUUCAUUUCAAUAAUCUUUUCAACUUCAUACAGCUUCUCUCUGGCUUUCAACUUUCUUGUAUGAUGUUUUCAGGACCUCGGCAUUUCCUAGUCUUACAGAGGUCCUUUGAGUCAGAGAGGUUGGUGUCUGCUAGCUGCAGGUUAGUGUCAAGACCAACGCCCACGUGAGCAUGUAAUCACCAUGUAGUACCACCUGUAGAGGCUGGGCAUAGUGGGCAGUAUGUCUCAUACAUACAGAUAUUUUUUAUGCAUACAGAUAUACAUACAGCUAAAUUUGGAAUUUUUACAAAUUUUUUUAAGUUGCUUAAAUUUAAUUCACUUAAAUUCACUGAGUUUUCAACCUAUCAAUCACAGAAUGUGUCAGUAGCUGAACCAGUUCUUUCAUCUCCCUCUCAUACUAUUGGAGGAGGAGGGAUAGUGUCACCAUCUCCUAUACCAGUCCAAUGAGUAGCACAUCAAAUAAUAAGUCUCCUGGUUUGUCUGAGAUUUGGUGUCAGUGUCUACAAAAGUGUCUGGACCUUGCAAUCGUUUAAUGUCCAGCAAUGAUGAGGAGACACUUGACAUAAUGAUUAAUGAGAGAGAAGGAGAAAUGAAGAUUAAAGAAGAAAGAAGUGGAACAAAAUACGUGGACUCUUUGAUCAAGAAAAAUUGAUAAAGUAAACAUGUAAAUAAAUAAUACACAUAUCUUUAUCUCUCUCACUCUCUCUCAGAUUAUUUAUUUACUCUUGCUCCAACAUUUCCUAAAUUUUGAAUAGUUUUGAAAUGAGAAGUAAAGUCCUUAAGACAGUCUGAUUCUGAAGAGAAAAAACAAUACCAAUAUUAUUAAACUUUCUCAUAAAUUAUGCCACAUAAUUUUGGUGAUUAGCUGGUUUAAUUAUUUUUGAUUAUUGAUUUUGGUUUAAUUAUUUGGCGAAUGGUUAUCAAAAUGCUAAAAUUACUAAA